rnacentral:rRNA from 1 species
AGUUUGAUUCCUGGCUCAGAACGAACGUUGGCGGCGUGGAUUAGGCAUGCAAGUCGUGGGAAUCCCAGCAAUGGGGGAACCGGCGUAAGGGGCAGUAAGGCAUAGGUACCUACCCUCGGGUUCGGGAUAGCUCUUGGAGACAAGAGGUAAUACCGGAUGAUGUCGUGAGACCAAAGGUCCGCCGCCCGGGGAGGGGCCUAUGUGAUAUUAGCUAGUUGGUGAGGUAACGGCUCACCAAGGCGAAGAUGUCUAGCGGGUGUGAGAGCACGACCCGCGCCACUGGCACUGAGACACUGGCCAGACACCUACGGGUGGCUGCAGUCGAGGAUCUUCGGCAAUGGGCGCAAGCCUGACCGAGCGACGCCGCGUGGGCGACGAAGGCCUUCGGGUUGUAAAGCCCUGUCGAGGGGGAGAAAAGCGAAAGCUUGAUCUAUCCCUGGAGGAAGCACGGGCUAAGUUCGUGCCAGCAGCCGCGGUAAGACGAACCGUGCGAACGUUGUUCGGAAUCACUGGGCUUAAAGGGCGCGUAGGCGGGCUGCCAAGUUUGGGGUGAAAUCCUCCGGCUCAACCGGAGAACGGCCUCAAAUACUGGCGGUCUCGAGGGGGGUAGGGGCAUGCGGAACUAUGCGUGGAGCGGUGAAAUGCGUUGAUAUGCAUAGGAACUCCGGUGGCGAAGGCGGCGUGCUGGACCCUUUCUGACGCUGAGGCGCGAAAGCCAGGGGAGCAAACGGGAUUAGAUACCCCGGUAGUCCUGGCCCUAAACGAUGAGGACUGGGUAGUA